GGGCCCGCACAAGCGGAGGAACAUGUGGUUUAAUUCGAUGAUACGCGAGGAACCUUACCCGGGUUUGAACGCAUUCGGACCGGAGUGGAAACACUCUUUUCAGCAAUGACCGUUUGCGAGGUGCUGCAUGGUUGUCGUCAGCUCGUGCCGUGAGGUGUCGGCUUAAGUGCCAUAACGAGCGCAACCCUUAUUGUUAGUUACCAUCAGGUAAUGCUGGGGACUCUAACAAGACUGCCAGCGUAAGCUGUGAGGAAGGUGGGGAUGACGUCAAAUCAGCACGGCCCUUACAUCCGGGGCGACACACGUGUUACAAUGGAUGGGACAGAGGGCAGCCACUUGGUGACAAGGGAGCCCAAAUCCCCUUAAAACCCAUUCUCAGUUCGGAUCGAAGUCUGCAACCCGACUUCGUGAAGCUGGAUUCGCUAGUAAUCGCGCAUCAGCCAUGGCG
rnacentral:rRNA from 1 species